GCCCGCUUGAUGGAAUGGUAGACAUACGGGACUUAAAAUCCCGAGGCCGCAAGGCCGUGCUGGUUCAAGUCCAGCAGCGGGCACCA
rnacentral:tRNA from 1 species